AAAAAGGAAAUGACGGGGGCCCAGGCACAAGCGUGGAGCAUGUGGUUAAUUCGAUGCNAACGCGAAGACCCUUACCUACUCUUGACAUCCAGAGAACUUUCCAGAGAUGGAUUGGUGCCUUCGGGAACUCUGAGACAGGUGCUGCAUGGCUGUCGUCAGCUCGUGUUGUGAAAUGUUGGGUUAAGUCCCGCAACGAGCGCAACCCUUAUCCUUUGUUGCCAGCGGUUAGGCCGGGAACUCAAAGGAGACUGCCAGUGAUAAACUGGAGGAAGGUGGGGAUGACGUCAAGUCAUCAUGGCCCUUACGAGUAGGGCUACACACGUGCUACAAUGGCGCAUACAAAGAGAAGCGACCUCGCGAGAGCAAGCGGACCUCAUAAAGUGCGUCGUAGUCCGGAUUGGAGUCUGCAACUCGACUCCAUGAAGUCGGAAUCGCUAGUAAUCGUGGAUCAGAAUGCCACGGUGAAUACGUUCCCGGGCCUUGUACACACCGCCCGUCACACCAUGGGAGUGGGUUGCAAAAGAAGUAGGUAGCUUAACCUUCGGGAGGGCGCUUACCACUUUGUGAUUCAUGACUGGGGUGAAGUCGUACAAUGUAAUUACAC
rnacentral:rRNA from 1 species